AUUUCAUUCUUGCUGCAGGGCUAGUUCCCAAUUCUUUCCUGCAGAAUAAUUCAUUUGUGAUCUAUGCAAAAACUUUCAAUAAUAUUUUUUUGCUGACCAGUCAAUAAGCAAAUGAAGUGGAGAUUUUGUUUUGGUAUUCUAAAUCUUGCCUAGACUCUGGCAGUUCCUUGUCCAUCACUAAUGACAGGAAACCUUUAGAUAGAUUUGUAUAACUGUCCCCUGAUUUGUAAGAGUCAGUUUAUUUUCUGACACUCUAUCAUCCGCUUAGAGAACGGUGGUUGGGUGUAAGCACAACACCCUGAGAGCUUCCAAGAGUCAGGGAGUUUACGAAAUGGGAACUGUCACACGCCAGAAACAUAACAGGGUUACUUACUAAGGUGAGAAUUGCACGGAAUUCAAAGUUAAAAUUCAAGGCCAAAGUAGCUGAACUGAAAGCACAGCUAAAUGGGAGAAUUUUUCCAGUGCUCGGGGUAAAAGGUGAUGGGUGUUUGUACCCAGAUCAAUUUAAUAACCUGAAGUGGUAUGGGUGCAUACAGUGACCCUUUAAUAUCUGGGCAUUGGCGAUGCUCUGGCUAGGGAUGCACACUGGCUAGCCAGCCACAACAUUAAAAUGUUUUUUAAAAAAGAGGCAAGACUUACUUGUCACUGGCUUCCACAUCAACCAAUCAGAGUGCUCUGACUUCAAUUUCGACGUCUAGGAAGGCCUUUAUAAAGAACGUUCCCGUUUUCGACGAGCCCAAAUUGGGUGAAGAUGGCUCCUAUUUUUCUUCUUUUAUUUUUUUGUGCGGGGUUUUUCCUUUUUAUGUCAUUUUGUUUUGUGAUUUGGGUCUUUUUUUAUUUUUAAUAACGAAGAUGUUAGAAGAAAGACUUUCACCAGGUAACUAUGAAGCUAUUUUUAAUUGAUUUAAAUUACUUCUCCCCUUUCUCACUAUUAAGGCAUAGGGAGUGUUUUUAUUGCAUUGGGGGGAGGGGGUCUAGAUAGGUUUUUAGUCAGUAGUGUGAUUGAUUAUUCACAGAAGUGUCGGUUCCCCUUUAAUAUUUUUUGUCUAUCUCCUGUAUCCAUUUAAAUGUAGAAAUCCACAUGCUGUAUCUGUCCUGGAACUCUGAGCUUCAAUCUUGG